GCUACAGCUCUGAAGAGGACUUCUUGCCAGCUUAUUGGUUCAUCACUGGUAUACACAAUGCUCAGAAUACUGGUGCCAGUCAUUAUGAUAGUCGUGGCUCUGAUUCCUGUUGUUAUGGCUUGUAGAGUAAGAUGUUCGAAGACCAGCUACAAAGAAUCAAAUGGGAAAAUAUCUUAUAAAAGGAGUGUAUGUACAGCAGAUGGGAGAGUCUACAACGAUAAAAAAAAUCAUAAUAACAUUUUCGCCUCUGCUAUGGCAGCUAUCAAACGUAAACUAUGAUCAUUAUGAGAAAAUUGCUGCCUUACUAUGGUUUUAUACUAUAAAUGGCUUAUUGUCAUUGUAGCACUAACACGCUAUUAAUAUUUACAUGCUACACGCACUGUCUUUCCCUCUGUACCUGACAUCAUAACAUUAUUACUUUGUGAUCAUGACUUAUGUUAUCCUGAUACUUCCUAAUAAAUGAGAAAUGUUAA